rnacentral:rRNA from 1 species
UACGUAGGCAGCAAGCGUUGUUCGGAGUUGCUGGGCGUAAAGAGUGCGUAGGUGGUGCCCUAAGUCUGUUGUGAAAUCUCCCGGCUUAACUGGGAGGGUGCGGUGGAAACUGGGGUGCUUGAGUGUGGGAGAGGUAAGCGGAAUUCCUGGUGUAGCGGUGAAAUGCGUAGAUAUCAGGAGGAACACCGGUGGUGUAGACGGCUUACUGGACCACGACUGACACUGAGGCACGAAAGCCAGGGGAGCAAACGGG